AACUGAAAAAAAGACAAAACAAAACAAAAACAAAACAAUAAGCCACUCUUUUCUCUCAUGUAAACCGAGCAAAACAGAACACUUUCUCGUUGGCGUUUUUGUGGGUUUUUUUUGGACCUUCUU
rnacentral:ribozyme from 11 species